AGAUGACUAAGACACCAUCCUACUCCUUCUCUUAAUGAAUAGAUCCUCUAUGUUACUGGGAGGAGGAGAGCGACCAGGUAAAAACCUAAAUUUCCCAGACUUCCUUGCAGGAGCAACUAAUGAGAAUAGUGGACUGGGCUUCUGGGAAACUUUUAAAGGGGAUUUACUCAGCUGGAGGUGCCUUAAUUGCCUCUUCCCUCUUUCUCUUUCUUUCUGCCGGGAACUUGGAAACAGCCAUCUUGUAAUCCUGAUGUGUUCUUCAGAAUGGAAGCCAUGUGAAAAGCAGGGCAGAGAAGAAAGACAGGAGUCCAGGGGCCUGAUGACAUAGUGGAACCAACUUACCAAUCUGAACUUCACACUAUACGCCAGUUCCUCUGGUCUCAGCACCGUGACAGAUACCAUGAGACUAACAACGCAAUGUGAUUUCCGAUAUGCAUAAAUCCCAGAGUCUAAGGGUGUAGUUAAAUCUCGUCCUUACAGCUUAGAAGUCAAACAGGAUACCAAACCACCUUCCCCCACCGGCAAAAAAAACAAAACAAAACAAACCCGUUGCCAGUGAGUCAAUUCUGACUCCUAGUGACCCUGCAGGACAG